GGUUCCAUGGUGCAAUGGUUAGCACCCCGAACUCUGAAUCCAGCGAUCCGAGUUUAAAUCUCGGUGGAGCCU